rnacentral:rRNA from 1 species
AUUGAACGCUGGCGGCAGGCCUAACACAUGCAAGUCGAGCGGGUGAAGGGAGCUUGCUCCUGGAUUCAGCGGCGGACGGGUGAGUAAUGCCUAGGAAUCUGCCUGGUAGUGGGGGAUAACGUCCGGAAACGGGCGCUAAUACCGCAUACGUCCUGAGAGAGAAAGUGGGGGAUCUUCGGACCUCACGCUAUCAGAUGAGCCUAGGUCGGAUUAGCUAGUUGGUGGGGUAAAGGCCUACCAAGGCGACGAUCCGUAACUGGUCUGAGAGGAUGAUCAGUCACACUGGAACUGAGACACGGUCCAGACUCCUACGGGAGGCAGCAGUGGGGAAUAUUGGACAAUGGGCGAAAGCCUGAUCCAGCCAUGCCGCGUGUGUGAAGAAGGUCUUCGGAUUGUAAAGCACUUUAAGUUGGGAGGAAGGGCAGUAAGUUAAUACCUUGCUGUUUUGACGUUACCAACAGAAUAAGCACCGGCUAACUUCGUG